rnacentral:siRNA from 1 species
AGCAAGUAACAUGACAAGGCAAGU